rnacentral:lncRNA from 1 species
UUUAAAUCAUAAUUUGCUGUGCUGGAAAUCAUUAAUUGAAUCAUGAUGAAAAAUCACAUAAAUUUUAUAUAUCUUUUUCGCUACGAAAUUAGCGUUGCAAUUAUCAAAAUCUGAUCUUGCCUUGUUUUGCGAACUCUUUGAUCCACUUAAAAUAUGUCUCAAUCUCCGGCACAUAUUUUAUCUUCCGCAUUGGUUUUUCUCGUCGCGAACCGGCUACAAGAGUCCAUUACAGCACAGCGCCCAAAAAAUGAAUCCAGAAAAAGAGAAUUUUUGUAAAGAGAUUAUUCUUAUUUUUCUUAUAUUUCGUAUGUGGUCAAUACUUUAUAUAUUUUUAGGUUAUAAAGGAAUUAUUAAUUUUAAUUUUAUUCUAACUGAAUUUUACAAAAAAUUAAAAUUUUAAACAGAAUAAAAUUUAUCUUUUAGAUCUAUUUUUUAUUUCAUAUAAAUUAAAAAUAUUUUAGAUAAUUUCAUUAUGGAUGAAU